rnacentral:rRNA from 1 species
UACGUAGGGAGCAAGCGUUGUCCGGAAUCAUUGGGCGUAAAGCGCGCGUAGGCGGCCACAUAAGUCCGUUGUGAAAGUCAAAGGCUCAACCUUUGAAAGCCGAUGGAUACUGUGUGGCUAGAGUCCGGAAGAGGCGAGUGGAAUUCCUGGUGUAGCGGUGGAAUGCGCAGAUAUCAGGAGGAACACCAAUAGCGAAGGCAGCUCGCUGGGACGGUACUGACGCUAAGGCGCGAAAGCGUGGGGAGCGAACAGG